rnacentral:rRNA from 1 species
GAAAAGAAAACAAAAAUAGACUAAAAGUAGGACUCCCCCGUACCUUUUGCAUCAUGGCUAUACAAUAAAAUUGGCACCGCCACCACCCCGAACCUUGAUAGAGCUGUUUGAGCCCCGUUUAGAACAUAAGAAAAAAUGUAGAAAGAUUUUUUCCAGAGGCUCCCACAGAGGCUACAUACCAUCCGCGACAAGAAAUAGCUGGCUCUACCCUAACCCCAUCAAAGUGGAAAAAACAGACCCCGAAAACUGUUGUUCAAACCAAUAAAGGAUAAGCUUUAUUGUCCAAGCAAUAAACCACAACAAACAAAACCCGUAGACCUAGUAGUGGCCACCGAACUUAAUGUGUAAUAACUUAUUUUAAAACGUAAAACUAAUUAAUUAAAAAUAAUGCUAACAAAAAGGGUAGAACUUAUCCAAACCUAAAAAUAUUAAUACAAUGUAUAGAUUACUACUAAACUUGCUUCCCCCCAAUUAACCCUAACACAUAAAAAAGGAACUCGGCAAACCCGGGCCCCGACUGUUUACCAAAAACAUUGCCUGCUGCUCACCCAAUAGCAGGUAUAUUCUGCCCAGUGAAUAAUUCAACGGCCGCGGUACCCUGACCGUGCAAAGGUAGCAUAAUCACUCGCCUCUUAAUUAGAGGCUGGAAUGAACGAACCAACGUGAGCCCCCCUGUCUCUUUUAUGAACACGAAACUUAACCUCUAGGUGAAAAGGCCUAGAUAUAAUUAAUAGACAAGAAGACCCUAUCGAGCUUCAUUGCUAAAUCCUUGUUUAAACUAUACUAAUUAACUUUUUACAAGGCCCACGCCAUUUUGUUGGGGCAACAAAGGAACACCCAAAGCUUCCUUAUAUCAAUAUAAAUAUCUACCAAUGACCCAGAAAACUGAUCAAAGGAAAAAGCUACCGUAGGGAUAACAGGUUAAUUUUUCUCGAGAGCCCACAUCAACAGAAAAGUUUGACACCUCGAUGUUGGCUUAGGCUAUCCUAAUAAUGCAGAAGUUAUUAACGGUGGGUUUGUUCAACCCUUAAUAGCCUACAUGAGCUGAGUUCAGACCGGCGCAAGCCAGGUUAGCUUCUAUCUUUAACCUAAACCUCCCUUGUUUGUACGAAAGGACCACAAGAGAUAAAUAAAUUUAAAAAAAUGAACCCCUAUAAACAAAACUUCACUUCAAUCACAUUUAUG